GCAACGUCGAAGGGUAUCAUAAGUCACGUGACGUCUUUUGUAGUCCGUUUAUGAAAAAAAAGGAGCAAUUUCGAUUUUUUAAAAUAAGGCAAAAUAGGGCCUGACAUUUUCACAGUUUGAA